rnacentral:rRNA from 1 species
AGAGCGAACGCUGGCGGCAGGCUUAACACAUGCAAGUCGAGCGGGCGUAGCAAUACGUCAGCGGCAGACGGGUGAGUAACGCGUGGGAACGUACCUUUUGGUUCGGAACAACCCAGGGAAACUUGGGCUAAUACCGGAUAAGCCCUUACGGGGAAAGAUUAUUGCCGAAAGAUCGGCCCGCGUCUGAUUAGCUAGUUGGUGAGGUAAUGGCUCACCAAGGCGACGAUCAGUAGCUGGUCUGAGAGGAUGAUCAGCCACAUUGGGACUGAGACACGGCCCAAACUCCUACGGGAGGCAGCAGUGGGGAAUAUUGGACAAUGGGCGCAAGCCUGAUCCAGCCAUGCCGCGUGAGUGAUGAAGGCCUAGGGUUGUAAAGCUCUUUGUGCGGGAAGAUAAUGACGGUACCGCAAGAAUAACGCCCGGCUAACUUCGUGCCAGCACGCCGC